rnacentral:misc_RNA from 1 species
GGGUUGCAUUUUAUGAAUUUUCCUUCGCCCAUGGCUUUCUUGCCUGGCCAACAAUUGGGUUCAGCAAUAAGCGGAAGUGGCAGCGGCGGCGGCACUAGUAUUGUUACUGAAAGUCACUUAGGUGUUAUGGCCGCGCUCAAUGCUUAUAGGCCAAUUAUGGGUAGUGGCGGCGCCUCCGAGUCUCUGGCGAGUGGGUCAAACCCGCACCAUGGAGGAGAGGACGGGCAAGAUACAACUAUCUAAGCAAGCAAGCGUAUGGUUUGAUCAAUGCAUUGCUAUUACUUACUACAUACUUCUUAACGAUAUAUAUCUGCAUUUUGCAAUACAGGCUCAAGGUUUGAUUGUUUUGAAAAGAAUUGAGUUAAUUAGUAUUCGAUUUUUGGUGUGAUUAGUGAAGAAAAUUUUAGGGUUUGAUGAAAGAAAGUAUUCACAUGAGUAUUUGCCUGGUCUUGUUAAGGUCUAUAUCUAUGAUCUCCAGCUGUGUGUGAGUGGCUGAACCAUUUCCU